GAUGAACGCUGGCGGCGUGCCUAAUACAUGCAAGUCGAGCGAACAGACGAGGAGCUUGCUCCUUUGACGUUAGCGGCGGACGGGUGAGUAACAUGUGGGUAACCUACCUAUAAGACUGGGAUAACUUCGGGAAACCGGAGCUAAUACCGGAUAAUAUUUCGAACCGCAUGGUUCGAUAGUGAAAGAUGGCUUUGCUAUCACUUAUAGAUGGACCUGCGCUGUAUUAGCUAGUUGGUAAGGUAACGGCUUACCAAGGCAACGAUACGUAGCCGACCUGAGAGGGUGAUCGGCCACACUGGAACUGAGACACGGUCCAGACUCCUACGGGAGGCAGCAGUAGGGAAUCUUCCGCAAUGGGCGAAAGCCUGACGGAGCAACGCCGCGUGAGUGAUGAAGGUCUUCGGAUCGUAAAACUCUGUUAUUAGGGAAGAACAAACGUGUAAGUAACUGUGCACGUCUUGACGGUACCUAAUCAGAAAGCCACGGCUAACUACGUG
rnacentral:rRNA from 1 species